CUCCAGGCGUCGAGCGGCGGACGGGUGAGUAAUGCAUAGGAAUCUGCCCGGUAGUGGGGGAUAACCUGGGGAAACCCAGGCUAAUACCGCAUACGUCCUACGGGAGAAAGCAGGGGAUCUUCGGACCUUGCGCUAUCGGAUGAGCCUAUGUCGGAUUAGCUUGUUGGUGAGGUAAUGGCUCACCAAGGCGACGAUCCGUAGCUGGUCUGAGAGGAUGAUCAGCCACAUCGGGACUGAGACACGGCCCGAACUCCUACGGGAGGCAGCAGUGGGGAAUAUUGGACAAUGGGCGCAAGCCUGAUCCAGCCAUGCCGCGUGUGUGAAGAAGGCUUUCGGGUUGUAAAGCACUUUCAGUGAGGAAGAAGGCCUUGGGGCUAAUACCCCCGAGGAAGGACAUCACUCACAGAAGAAGCACCGGCUAACUCCGUGCCAGCAGCCGCGGUAAUACGGAGGGUGCGAGCGUUAAUCGGAAUUACUGGGCGUAAAGCGCGCGUAGGCGGCGUGAUAAGCCGGUUGUGAAAGCCCCGGGCUCAACCUGGGAACGGCAUCCGGAACUGUCAGGCUAGAGUGCAGGAGAGGAAGGUAGAAUUCCCGGUGUAGCGGUGAAAUGCGUAGAGAUCGGGAGGAAUACCAGUGGCGAAGGCGGCCUUCUGGACUGACACUGACGCUGAGGUGCGAAAGCGUGGGUAGCAAACAGGAUUAGAUACCCUGGUAGUCCACGCCGUAAACGAUGUCGACUAGCCGUUGGGGUCCUAGAGACCUUUGUGGCGCAGUUAACGCGAUAAGUCGACCGCCUGGGG
rnacentral:rRNA from 1 species